rnacentral:rRNA from 1 species
UACAGAGGGUGCAAGCGUUAUUCGGAAUUACUGGGCGUAAAGGGCGCGUAGGCGGCCCCGAAAGUCUGAUGUGAAAGCCCUGGACCCAAUCCAGGAAGUGCAUCGGAAACUGCGGGGCUCGAGUGCAGGAGAGGAGGACGGAAUUCCUGGUGUAGAGGUGAAAUUCGUAGAUAUCAGGAGAAACAACAGUGGCGAAGGCGGUUCUCUGGACUGUUACUGACGCUGAGGCGCGAAAGCGUGGGGAGCAAACAGG